rnacentral:lncRNA from 1 species
CCUGGGAAAGCCUCUAACAUAGGUUGUUGUAAGUUUAAAAAACAAAAACAACAACAAAUAAAGGUUUUUUUUAUUUGUUUGUUUGUUUUUUCCUGCAGAUUUGGUCAGAUCAGAUAGGGAAAAUGCAAAUUCUGGGAGCAAACAGAAGUUCAUGAGAACUUUAAGGAAAUUCUCAGAAAUGCCAGAAGUCUCCAGGAAUGAUACUUGGAACAACUACAUACUGAAUGAUGAACAUCAAGCAUGGUGUUUCCUAGAGAAAUUCUGAGGUGAAAGAAGUCAUCCAAAAAUCAAACUAAGUUUCGCUGUAUGUACUUUUCUAGACCUUACCCAGACACUCAUCAAUAACAAUUAUAUUAUGAAAUGAAACAGAAUGUCACUGAAUAUAGUGGUUUUACUCUCAGAAGUAUUCACUCAGCAUUUUUUCCCCUACAGGACAACUUAUGAUUUGUACCUGUUAACAUCAAAAGAAAACUGACAAAAUAAGCAUACAGUGUGAGUUUAUCUUGUACUUGCCCAUACUUGAUAUUUCUAUCAAAUUGAAGAGCUAAUUUUUGUAUACUGAAGAUUACCAAGGAUCUUUUAUAAACAAAGGCUUUUAAAUUUUUUUUUUUUUUUUGGCCACUUGAAAAAGUGUCCUGGAAGUGUACAUUGCUACCAAUACCUUCAGACCAUUUGAACAUGCUGUAAAUCUAGACUACUAUGCUCCAAAGUAAAUUACUUCAGUAUGGAAUGUUG